CCUGCCUCAGCCUCCAGAGUAGCUGGUAUUACAGGAUUUCAUCAUGUUGCCCAGGCUCAUCUCGAACUCGUGGGGUCAAGGAAUUCGCCAGCCUUCAGCCUCCCAACGUGCUGGGAUUACAGGAAGCCGGUGGUCAUGCCAUGAGCAGCCUUAUGGAGAGGACCAUGUGGUAAGGAACUCAGCCAAUAGCCAUGUAACUGAGCUUGGAAGAGGAUCUUGCUGUCCUGGCCAACAUCUCACUGCAAUUCUAUCAGUUGAAUUCCCUGGAUAGUCCAAGCUUUGUGGAUCCCUCCACCGAAACAACUGGAUCCCAGUACCUGAAUCCUGAAUCUUAGACUCUUAUACUUCAAACACUGAUCACGGGAACAGCCGGCUCAGCGGCUCCUGAGUUCCUAAUGCUCAGAAUAUGGGUGAGAUGAUAAAUGUUUGUUGUGUUAAGCUGCCAACCUUUGGCGGGGGGGUAAUUCGUCACAUGGCAACAGCUGGCUAAUACAUAUAUACCUACAUGUAUAUGAUUUUGUCAGGUUUUUUGUUUGUUUGUUUGUUUGGUUUCGGUUUUGGUUUUUGAAACAGGGUUUCACUCUGUC
rnacentral:lncRNA from 10 species